AUUGAACGCUGGCGGCAUGCUUUACAUAUGCAAGUCGAACGGUAACAGCACUUCGGUGGCUGACGAGUGGCGAACGGGUGAGUAAUACAUCGGAACGUGCCUAGUAGUGGGGGAUAACUACUCGAAAGAGUAGCUAAUACCGCAUGAGAUCUAAGGAUGAAAGCAGGGGACCUUCGGGCCUUGCGCUACUAGAGCGGCUGAUGGCAGAUUAGGUAGUUGGUGGGUUAAAAGCUUACCAAGCCGACGAUCUGUAGCUGGUCUGAGAGGACGACCAGCCACACUGGGACUGAGACACGGCCCAGACUCCUACGGGAGGCAGCAGUGGGGAAUUUUGGACAAUGGGCGCAAGCCUGAUCCAGCAAUGCCGCGUGCAGGAUGAAGGCCUUCGGGUUGUAAAAUGCUUUUGUACGGAACGAAAAGCCCUCUUCUAAUACAGGAGGGUCAUGAAGGUACCGUAAGAAUAAGCACCGGCUAACUACGUG
rnacentral:rRNA from 1 species